UUGCUUAGUUUCUAUAUUCAAAUUUCGGGCUAGUGAAUUAUUCUGUGGGCUAGUAGCUUUCAGGCAAAGCUAGCUCGACUGGCUAGCAAAAUUUGGAAACUAUUUCGCACACUGAUUGAGAUGCAUAUU